rnacentral:pre_miRNA from 1 species
AUGCUAAUUUCAAACUUUGGAAUAGGGAAAUCCGCGGGGGAUUUAAAUAUAUUUAAAUCCCCCGCGGAUUUCCCUAUUCCAAAGUUUGAAAUUAGCAU